UGGAAUGGAGUGCAUCUCGAAUGAUUCCGAAUGUUCGUUGUUUCGAUAUUCGCGCUGACGAAACGGCAGGUGUAAACGACCACACGUUUCGUUGAUUGUAUACUUAAUUUUAGUAUAAAUUCUAUACUAAAAUCACGAUUUUUGUCGUUUCUAAUCUUGCGUGCUAUUUAACCGAUUCAGCGGAACUACACACUGCCAAAGAGGAUGCCGAAGAGGAAGGUGCAACAUCAAGCACUCAUAGACUCCGACAGCAGUGGAAGCGCGUCGGAGAGCGGCUCAGACUUGGACAAUGAUCUGCUUUCAUUGGCGAAGAAAAAGAAAGGAAAAUCUCAAGAUGAUUCUCAGUCGAAUGAAGAUAAUGGAUCUAUUAAAAAAGAUGCCAAGCAUGAUUCAGAUACAUCAGAUUCCGAUAAUAAUUGGAACAACAAAAACACUGGAAAAACAAAGAAAAAAAAGGGGUCAUCGGCAAAACGAAGUAAACGGAAGGUGACAAAAUCGAGCUCUGAAGAGAGUGCCAGUGAGAAAGAACCAGCAAAGCAACUUUCAGAGCCAGAAGAAGGUGAAGUAUCAGACUCUGAUGUAAGUGUUUCCGACUCUAGCCAAGAAGAAUUCAACGAUGGGUAUGAUGACAAACUCAUGGGAGAUGCGGAAGAUCAAGCCAGACUCGCUCAAAUGACUGAAAAAGAACGUGAACAGGAAAUUUUUAAACGAAUUGAGCAACGUGAAAUUAUGAAGACAAGAUUUGAAAUUGAGAAGAAAUUAAGAAUGGCAAAGAAACAAGAAUUGAGAAAACAGAAAGAAUCAAAAAAGAAAGAGAAAGGUGGUGAAGAGAAACAAAAACUAGACAGGGCACCAGAUCCUAAAGAAAGGAGUAAAGAUCGUAAAAAAACAAUAGAAGAAAAGCAAGAUAAGAAAUUCCAUGCAAUGUCAUUGCUUAAAGCCAGACGCGAAGAGAAAAAAGAACGAGAGGAAAAAGAAAAACAGAGAAUAGAACAGCAACAACAACAAUCAAAGGAUAUAGAGGAAGAGGAUUUGGAAAAUGAUCAUAAAGGUGGAAACAAGACUAAACUCAAAGCAUCUGAUAUAUAUUCCGAUGACAGUGGGUCAUCGGACAGUGCAGAGGAGGAGGAAGAAACUAAACCGGCAUCUCAGCGUAGAUCGUCUUCGAGUGAAAGUCGUGAUUCGGAUUCUGAUAACGAUAAGAAAUCGAUUACAAGUAACAAAGCCAAACCGAAAAAGCCGGUAUAUAUCAGUACCAAGGAAGAUUUGAACAAGAUCCGACUGUCUCGUCAUAAAAUGGAGAGAUUCGUUCAUUUACCUUUCUUUGACAGAGUAGUGCAAGGUUGUUUUGUCAGGAUUGGAAUCGGUAAUAAUAAUGGUAAACCUGUCUAUAGGGUAGCAGAAAUAAGCGGUGUAUGUGAGACAGGAAAGAUUUAUCAACUCGGCGGCACAAGAACGAAUAAAGGAUUGAAAUUGCGUCAUGGUGCACAGGAACGUGUAUUCAGGUUGGAAUUUGUCUCCAAUCAAGAAUUCACAGACUCGGAAUUCUUCAAGUGGAAGGAAACUUGCGCGGUGCAAGGAAUUUCCGUGCCAACAUUCGACGAAGUAGAGCAGAAAUUAAAAGAUAUUAAUGAAGCAUUGCUAUAUGAAUAUAAAGAAGAGGAUAUAGAAAAAAUUGUUCGAGAAAAAGAGAGAUUCAAGCAAACACCCUAUAAUUACGCGAUGAAGAAAGCUCAGCUGAUGAGAGAACGGGACGCGGCUAAUUGCAGAGGGGACGACGAGACUGCUAGUCGUCUUAAUCAAGAAUUAAGUGAAUUGGAAGAACGCGCAUCGGAACUGGAUAAGAUGCGUACAGCGACGAUUUCCAGUAUAUCAUACAUAAAUGAUCGCAACAGAAAGAAAAAUGUCGAAGAAGCCGAGAAAGCUAUAAUGGAAGAAUUAAAAGCUAAUAAAGGUAAAAAGAUUGAUGAUCCAUUCACCAGACGAAGUACUAAGCCUAGAAUGGUAUUUAAACCAGAAGAUGAAUCUGAAGUGGUAAGCACAGUUCCAAUAAAUGAUAAAUCCAGUCCUCAUCCGACUGUCGAUUCGGUAUCGACCGCUAACGAUAAAGAGAAUGGACAGGAGUCUAAAAAGAAGCAAAGUACAGAAGAUUUGUUUAACGCCCACGAUUUCGAUAUAACGAUUGAUUUGGAAGUUCCUAUUCCAAGUAAUCCUGUUAGUGUUUUACCGAAGCCUAUUAAUAACAUCAAGGACACAGGACCUCGCCGUUCAUUAAAUUUAGAAGAUUAUAAAAAGAAACGUGGUCUCAUCUAACAGUUCAUACGUUUUAGACAUCGUAAAAACAUAAGAUUAAGUUAUCGAGGUUGUCUUGUAAUAAUUAAAAAUUUUAACCUCGCUUCUCGAAUGCUCUGUACUUAAAGGAGAUAGUUGAUAUACUGAGAAGAAUGCGAUUUGACGCUUUGUCUUACAUGUUCCAAUACUGUAGAACAUCCAUACUUAAACAAGAAGAGAGAGAGGAAAAAAUAUAAAAGAAAGGAAAGGUAUAUAUCCAAUAAUGAAAUCAUUUGCCAAAUAUGACACUAACUUUUUACGAAUGAAAAUAUUGUUUGCAUGAGAAUUAAUUACAAUGACAGUAUAUAUAAUGACGCACAGAAUAAUAUUUUAUUUUAUACAUGAAUAUUUUAUUUUAUACAGAAUUAAACUUAGUAAAUGAUAAUUCUAUCAAAAAAUGGAAAUGGACAACACAUAAUAAUAAG